GGUGAACGCUGGCGGCGUGCUUAAGACAUGCAAGUCGAACGGCAGUCUUCGGACUGUAGUGGCGCACGGGUGAGUAACGCGUAACUGACCUACCCCAAAGUCGCGGAUAACGAUUCGAAAGAAUCGCUAAUACGUGAUGUGCUGUCAGAUUGUGUUCUGCCAGUAAAGGUUGAUUGCUUUGGGAGGGGGUUGCGUUCCAUCAGCUAGUUGGUGGGGUGAAGGCCCACCAAGGCGACGACGGAUAGCCGGCCUGAGAGGGUGGCCGGCCACAGGGGCACUGAGACACGGGUCCCACUCCUACGGGAGGCAGCAGUUAGGAAUCUUCCACAAUGGGCGAAAGCCUGAUGGAGCGACGCCGCGUGAGGGAUGAAGGUCUUCGGAUCGUAAACCUCUGAAUCAGGGACGAAAGACACUUCGGUGGGAUGACGGUACCUGGGUAAUAGCACCGGCUAACUCCGUGCCAGCCGCCGCAGUAACAC
rnacentral:rRNA from 1 species